CCCUGAAGCUCAACGGCUAAAAGCCUGAAAUAUUAAUCGCUCAUCCACAUCAUCUCUCCUCAAGAUUUUUUCUACGGGAACCUAAAUAUUGGGUUCUCUUCUCCCCAAACCUCCGAUUCCCAUCUAAAUCCCACUCUUGAUGUGCGAGUGUUUGUUCUCUCCGUACGGGAGAGUUCUCCGCCACCCUUUGGAGUGGUUUCUUUUUCAUCUAGGGCUUAAUGGCGGCAAAGGAUUUAAGCGGUUCCUCUCUCCGAUGGCUACUAUGCGAAACAGGGUGAAUGGUUGGCGGAGGAGACGAGGGAAAUCGAAGGGGGUCUCGACUGAAUGAGAGCCAAAAGGGUGCGGCGCUGCUGAUGGGCGAUGAUUGGAAGCUGGCUCUGAUUCAUGCGAAGGGAGGAGAUGAUACUGGAAGGACUUCUUAAAUUACCAGAAAAUAGGGAGUGUGCUGAUCGCAAAACUAAAGGACCGAAAUGGGCUAGUGUGAACUUAGGCAUCUCAUGCAUGCAGUGAUCAGGAAUACAUCGAAGUGUAGGAGUACGUAUAUCAAAGGAAGAAGCAAUCUAUGAUUGAUGUGACUUCUGAGUUUUUUGCUGAGGUACUUGGACCACUUUUAGGUUCUUCUAGUUAGUUAUGUCUUUGUACUCUGUUAGAGUACCAACCUCCUCAACUAUGUCAUCUAUGCUAUCUUUAUUUUGUGCUCCUUUCUUCUUUCUAGGAUUUUUAUCUUUGGAAUCAAUUGAUCUACCACGCUUCUUUCUAAUUGUCCUACUGGGAUAUCAAUUAUAAUAGGAAUAUUUUUAGUUAGAAUAUGAGACUUGGUAAUUCUUUUAAAGUUAGUAAAUGCAUAUGGCAAUUGAUUUGCAAUAUUUUGUAAAUAAUUUUUUUUUAACUUCAA